rnacentral:lncRNA from 1 species
UUAACCGCAACGCUAAAUUCGUUGAAGCCUCAACCUUGUGCUACCGGCUCAAAGUUAUGCCAACCGACCUCGGCAUUACAGUAUGCAGUCUUCUACACCGGCAUAACUCUCGCAUCUCUUGGCUUGGGAGGUACCCGCUAUACCUUGGCAACACUUGGGGCCAAUCAAUUUGACAAGCCUAAGCAUCAAGCAAGUUCUUCAACUGGUUCUUCUUUACUCUGUACUCUAGUAUAGUGGUAGCCCUAACAGUCAUUGUCUACGUUGAAGAUAACCUCAGUUUUAAAUGGGGGUUUGGUCUAUGUGUCAUCGCCAACCUAAUCGGCAUGGCCAUUUUCUUCUCUGGAAGCCGUUUCUAUAAAUUCGAUAAACCACAAGGGAGUCCAUUUGUUGGUUUCGGUCGUGUUAUUGUUGCCUCUGUUCGGAAAACAAGUCUCCAGCUAUCAACUGAAAGAAAGAAUUAUUAUUAUGGACAUGAUGGAGUGACAAACAAGGUGGCUGCAGCAACACUUAGCAAGAGUUUCAGGUACAAACAGUAUGGGUUAAUUAUAUACGCAAGGUAGAGAUAGAGAAAUUAAUAUGCUCGACUUUAAAACCAAAUUAUAUACGUUAGGUAGUGUUUUCUUGUCAAACAAUUAGUUAUGAGCAUAUACCUCUAUGCAAGGAGAAAUUUUGGGUUCCAACAACUGAAUCAUGUGUCCGCACGGACCUAGACACAACACCACGUACCUCAACCAUCUUGAUUCGUUCCUCAAAAAGGCAAAAAAAAAAAAAAAAAAAAGCUCCGCCUUUGUCAAUAUGGUAUGAUAGUAGAGAUGUCAUUGAAAUACACGUUGAAUAUAAUGUGAUGUUUUCUACCACCAAUAUCUAUUGAUUUCAAAUUAAAUGUUCAAAUUCAAUCUUGUUCAUAUAGUCAAGCUAUCCAUGUGUCAAACCAAACGGACACAUGUUAGGGACUUACAUGUGAAGGGUGUGAUGAGAUUAUUAUGUCACGCUAUAGAGAUGAAGUCUAACUUAGUAUAUGUGAUAAUGAGUCUCUCUACCCACUUCCAGUUCGUUUAGAGGUUGGAAUGUUCAAUCAAAUUUUACGAAAUUUGACAUUUUUUCAACCUAUUUUUGGUUCAAUUUGGUAAUUAUUUUUUCUGCUAUUUGCUUCCUUUCUAAAGUAAAAUUGAAUUCUGGAAGAGACUAGUUGAGUAGGCUAAAACCAUUUACCAAUGAACUUGAUGUUCUUAUUACCAUUCCCCUUCCCUCACCAUCGCUAUGAUACAAAAAAAUAAAAUAAAGUACAAAAAAUAAAAUAAAAAAGUAAAGUUGAGUGCUAUUUAAAAACGACAUUAAAAGACUUCAUAUUUUCAUGCAGAUUCCUUAACCGUGCAGCACAGAAAAUUGAAGGAGACGUGAAAUCAGAUGGCUCAAUUGCGAAACCAUGGAGCUUAUGCACAACGCAACAAGUGGAAGAUUUCAAGACCGUUCUAAGAAUUUUUCCACUAUGGUCUACAGCUUUAUUCUUAGCUACCCCAAUAGCAAUCCAAUCCAGCAUGUCAGUCCUGCAGGCUCUAACCAUGGACCGUCACAUUGGCCCCCAUUUUAAAUUGCCAUCUAGUUCUGUUAUAGUCAUUGUUCUAUUCUCAACAUCCAUGUUUCUAACCCUAAUUGAUAGAUUCUUAUGCCCCAUGUGGCAGAAGAUCACUGGUGAGUUACCGUCUCCCCUCCAGCGUGUAGGAGUAGGACACGUGUUAACCAUUCUCAGCAUGGCUGUUUCAGCAGUGAUGGAGUCCAAAAGGCUCAAAAUAGUGCAAGAACACCACCUCCAAGACCAGCCUGGUACUAUUGUUCCAAUGUCGAUCUUUUGGCUUUUCCCACAGUUAGUUUUGGUAGGCAUUGGAGAUGCAUUUCAUUUUCCAGGACAGGUUGCAUUGUUUUAUCAAGAAUUUCCCAUGUCACUGCGAAGCACAUCGACGGCCAUGAUCUCAUUGAUUAUUGGGUUUGCAUAUUAUGUAAGCAGAGGUGUGGUUAAUAUGGUCCAAAGGGUUACUGGAUGGUUACCAAACAAUCUAAAUAAUGGGAAGCUGGACAAUGUUUAUUGGAUGCUAGCUGUGCUGGGGGUGAUAAACUUCGGCUAUUAUUUGUUGUGUGCUAAGUUGUACAGGUAUCAAAAUGUAAAGGGUGCAGAUGGUAGUCCUGACCCAGAUAGCUAGUGAUAAGUGAUUAGUGUUGGUUGGUGAUUAAAGAAAUUAUCUGGGUCAUAAGACUUGGCACAAACCAAGAACAGUGGCGUUGUCAACCCCACUUAAUUAGUAGAAUAAGAUUUUGUUGUUGUUGUUAUUGUAUAAGUUGUCUCAUAUGUCCCAGCUUUUACAAAUAUUCAUAAUGCAAUAAACAUAAUUUGAACCAAAGAGUGCCUUAUAUGCAUUUAGACUAGAAAUUUUUAAAACAACUGAAGUCAAAAGAUUUUAAAACAUCUAGUGCGUCUUUUGUUUCAUGUGUGGGUAGCUGUCAUAGACAGAAAGAGUGGCUGGCUAUGUCGUUUGAAGUUGAUGUAAACAAUUUGAAUCCAAAUGUUCUAUCAUUUGGAGGAAAAAAAAAUCAAAGAGUGUCUUAUAUGCGAUUAAACUAAAUCGUUGUAUUAAAAAAAGUCACAUUACAUAUAAAUCUGAUAGUAUACACUAUUUACCAAAAAAAAAAAAAUUAAUAAUAAGACAUAUACAACCAACCUGCCUUUGUUUGUCUAACCAAAAACUUCAUCUAGUCUAUACAACAAGCUAAUUUUGACCGUGGAUGCGUGAUGAAUUGUGAUCUAUUUUUCUUCAGAUUAAAACAAUAAAAGUAAUUUUUUUCUCUCAUAAAAUUGCUCUCUGUAAUUUUUUUCGCCCAUGAGCGGUAGGUCUCGAGUUCGAGACUUGGGAGCAACCUUUCCAUAAAUGGGGAUAAGGCUAGCCGACAUUCACCUCUCCCAGACCCUGCGUAAAGCGGGAGCCUUGUGCACUGGGGACGACCUUUAUAAAAUUGCUCUCUGUACUGGGCAAAUCUUGUGUGCAAUUGCUCUAUCUUGUCUAGCCGUUCCGGGCUGUUUUGUAGGGUGGCUGCUAGAGCCGUUUGAGUCUUGUGACUGGUUCCGUCCCUGCUUAUUCUGACAUGGCUUAUAACGCUUGGCUUUAACAUCUUUCCCAUUAACUGAGAAUUUGCCUUUGCUCUCAUGGUCUGGUUUAUCAAGAAUUCUUGUAGCGUCUGACGCAGACUUAGCAACAACUUGAGCAAACAGUGAUUGGUCAUUUGGAUGAACAGGCUUCUUCAUAAAGACUGACUAUACAAUCUCCAAAUUUCCUGCAUAUACAUGAUGAGUUAAAACAGUUAAUCCAGAUAUUGUUGAAGCUGAUAAUAAUAGGUCUAUAUAAAUAUAUAAAUAUAUAUGUAUAUAUAUUACACUUUACCAGCUUAGAUUUGAGGUCUAUUGCAAUCUCAUACAACAUUUUUAAAAAUUUCACUCUCAUACUCAUGUACUAUUUUAUUUCAAUAUAAUAUAUCCGUUACAUUUUUCAUUCAUUAGUCCAUUAAGAGCUGACGUGACUGCUAUAUUUAUGCCAACGUGGCUACAAAAUUUGUGCCACAUGGCAAAAAAUAAUAAUUUUUUAUGCAUUUAAAAUAUUAUAAUAAUUUGCCCUAUUAAAAUAUUCCGGCGUGAGGGAUGGCACGACCAGCUGCAUAUUCGUUUGAUGGCGGAGCUCAUCGAGAUCGGAGGGAACAGAGGGAAAGGGGGAACUGUACAAGAUGUUAGGUGGAAGAGUAGGCUGAAGUCUGUAAUUGAAGAUUUGCAAUUACAGAUCUACCUUUUGCUUUUUACAUAUUUUUCUUUCAUUUUCAAACUUUUAAUUUGGUUUAUUGAUUAUUUCCAGUAUUGAAAACUGGAAACGAGAGAGCUCUGCGGUUGUGAUGGGGAGGGGGUGGCUAGGUAGGAAGAUAUGGGUUUUCUUUUUUCUUUUUUCUUUUCUUUAGUUAAUUGUGGUGGGUAGGAAGUUUGUGGUGCGUUUUUUGGAUGGGAUGGGAGGUGAGCAGCUGGGUUUUUAGGGGUUUUGGGUGGGGUGGGGGGUUGCGGGGGAGGUGGGGGUGGGGUGGGAUAAGAGGUUUGGGUUGCAGAGAAGGGGAAGGGGUUGGGGAAGGAAGAUGGUUUUUUUUUUUUUUUUUUUUCUUUCUAAGGGUAAAUUAUUAUAUUUUAAUUGCAUAAAAAAGUAUUUUAUUUUUUUGCCAUGUGGUACAAAUUUGGCAGUCACAUCAGCACAAAUAUGGAUCCAAUAUUUGUCACGUCACCACCUACAAAAGUAGAGAUAAAAACACUAAAAAAAUACUUGCAAGAGAACAAGGUAGUUGUAGUAUAACGACUCACGCAAAGUCAUUUUCCGUAGGGAUUGUUUGAAUAAUUUGUGCAAAACCAAAAUCUUAGUUAAUUAUUUAAAAACAAGAAUUGGAAAAAGUUGAUUUUGAAUUUAAAAAUAAUAAAAACGAAUUUAAUUAAAAUGAUUAAGGAAAUUAGCAAAGUAAAGAAAACAAAAGAAAACAUUUUGUAAACCAAAUUGUAAAAGUCUAGGGUUCCGCUGUCCCCUUAACAAUCCUAUGUAGAUUUACUAAUUACUUAUGAAUUACCCAUGCAACUUUGAAGGUUAGGUUUUCCUAAUGCAUAUUCUACUUGUGGUAUUCAAGCUAGAACGUAUAUCAAACAUGCAAUCUGUCUAUGGUAUUCAGAUCAAAUAUAAACAUGCAUGACUCAUUACACUUUGUGAAAACCCUUCAAAAAAACCAUGCAACCCCUAAGACGUGGUAUUCAUCCUAGGUGAAAUUACAACUAUCAAUCACAACAAGCAAUACUCAAUUCCCCGUUGGUAUUCCGACCGAAUUGCAUCCAAUUACUUAUCUAAACAUCCUAAUGAUAGCUAAGCAUUAAGAUAUAGAGACAGUUUAAGCACAGUGAUUAAUAAUUCAAAGUAUGCAUGCAUAAUAUCAUAAGCAAUUAAAUAAAGACUACAUAUUCAUGCUAAGGCUCAAGGCAUCGCCCUAGCAAACUGAAAUUAGUUACGAACAACCAUAAAACAAAAGAAAUUUUAUUGAAAUAGAAAAAGGAUAGAAAACACCUUGAAAUACAAAUCGUCAAAGCCUAACUAAGUUCUCCAAAUUGAUCCCUCCCUUCUCUAAUGGCUAAAACACCUUGAAAACACCAUGAUUUCCGAGGUUAUGGAUAAUACAAUUUCUUGUCAAUUUGAUCUGAGAUCAUGUAGAUUGUUCAUCCACUGAUCAUGUGAACUUUCAUUUCAAUAUUAGAUUGGCAAUCCAACAAUAUAACAUGCAAGCUUAUAUAACAUGUACGAAUGUGUACUAGAUAAUAUUGAAUAAGUAUAUAGGUUGUGUCAUUACCACUACACGUGCAAAACAUGUGCACAUAUGGCUUACUGGAUAGAAUAGUAUAAAUAGCUUUUCCUUUCCUUUAUUUUGGUAAUCGAUUGUAAUACCUGAAACAGUUAGAGAAAUACAUUGUGAUAUUCUUUUGGCUUCUCCUCUAAGCUUUCUUCUUCAAUGUAUUUCUUGAUUUCUACGGAAUUCAUCCCUACUACUAAGAUGGUAUCAAGAGCCAAUCUUGCUUGCGCAAUGGUACUAGUUCAUCAUUUCCGCUGCUUCGACUUGUAAUAAGGUGAUAUUGCUUAUGUGCUUUGUCUCUGGAAAUUUGUUCUUUGCGUCGAAAACCCUAAAGAAUUUAGUGUUCUUCUUCUGAAAUUUUGUUUGAAUUGAAGUGUAAUUGAAGGCCGAUGCCAUAGUUUCUAGUUAAUUGAAUAGUUAUAUGUUGAUUUGAUGAAAGGCCGAUGCCAAAAUUUGUUGUGAUUUUUUCAAUUUCCUGAAGUGAUUAAAUUGAUUGAAGGCCGAUGCUAUAGUUUUCUGGUUAAUUGAAGAGUUAUAUGUUGGUUUGAUGAAAGGAUGAUGCCAAUUUGUUGCGAAUUUUAGUUUCUUGAAGUAAUUGAAUUGAUUCAAGGCCGAUUGCCAUUGUUGAAGUUUAUUUGUGAUUCUUACUUCUUUGCGAUUAUAUAGUGAUUGUAUUCGUAGUUAGAAAUCAGAUAUGCAAUUCUUUUUCAUCUGGAGUUAUCCACCGACUCAUCUUGCUUCUGGGUUUUUCUGGGUAUUUUCACACCGACAUAGUUUUGAUUGUUUCUCUUUGUUUUUCAUAUCAUGGAAAAUCAAGUGAGGAUUGAAAGUUUGUUGGGUAUGCUCACUAUUAAACUGAAUGAUGAUAAUUUCAUUAAAUGGAGUUACCAAUUUGGCUCGGUUCUUCGUGGCUAUGAUUUCUUUGAUCAUUUUACUGGUGAUUCUGUUUGCCCUCCCAAGUUUGUUAUCACUUUUGAAUUAGGGGUUACCAAUGAGAUAAAUGCAGCUUAUAAAGAAUGGGUUAAGAUUGAUAUGGCGUUGUUAAGCUUGUUAAUUGCUACACUCAGUGAUGAUGCUAUAGAACAUAUAGUAGGAUGUAAGACCUCUCAUGAGGUAUGGACUGCUUUACAGGAUAGAUAUAUGUAUGUGUCUAAAGCUAGUGUCAAUCAUCUCAAAGCAAAACUACAUACUAUGCAGAAAGGGGGGGACAUUAUUGAUAAAUAUCUACUGAGGUUAAAGACUAUUAAAGAUCAAUUAUAGGCUGCUGGAUAGAAAGUAUUAGACAAUGAUCUCAUCAUUGCUGCACUAAAUGGCUUACCUUUUAAUUACGAUUUGAUUCAAACCGUUAUAUUGGCUAGAGAGUCACUGAUUACACUUAAAGAAUUUCAGGCUCAAUUAAUUGGUGCAGAGAAGACAAUUGAAACUAGAAUGCAGUCUUUGGUUCAGAGUAUGUCUGCCAUGUAUGUCAAUGCUAAUGCUUCCAAUGAUCAUACUGGGAAAUCUUCCUCUCAGUUCCCUGCAUCUUCAGGUUCAUCAGGCAAUUCUUCUAAUGCACAGUUUUCUCCGACUGUUGGUUCUGGAUUUUCUAAAAGUUCAUCAUCUGUUACAAGUUAUCCUGGUAAUUAAUUUCAGUCCAAUGGCUACUCAGGAAAUAAUAUGACUGGCAGAUCAUUCAAUGGAAGUAGUUCACAAACACCACGUCGUCCCCAGGAUAAAACAGCCCAGAACCUUCUUCUGAUAAGAUUCUUCCUUUGCACACCGGAAGAACCUUCGAACUUACACAUUUCCGAUAUGUUGCUUUUUAAAUCAAUAUAUGUAAAACUUUUUUUCCUGCUUUCACUUUCUGCAAUUCGCCUAACUAAUAUGUGUGUGUGUGUGUCUAUAUAUAUAUAUAUAUAUAUAUAUAGACAUUGGAAGGUGUGAAACCGUAAGAAAUCAAGGAAGUUUAUGGGGAUGCAAAACCGUAGGAAAUCAAGAGAGUUUAUGGGGGUGUAAAACGGUCUGCAAUAAAAAAAGUUAUUAGUGGUGCAAUGUUGUAGGAAAUCAAAACAAACAAAAGAUAAAAACCACAACGGGACAAUCAAAACGUAAUUCAAAUUCAAACCGGAAAUAAAAACAAAACUGUUUGAUUGCAUAACUCCUUAAGUCAAAAUCAAUUGACUUUUAAUAUUGAUAAUAAAGCAAAACGUUAUGUAUAUAAAAUUGGUAGUAAAACAUAAAUAUAUUUAAAUAAAACAUAUUUACUCCAACAAUCCCCCACUUGUUUUUGUUUAAAACUAUAUAUCAAGCAACAUAUCAUAAAGCUAUGCAUAAGUAAAGGUGUUUCUCAACUUAAACCUGCACAUUGUGUUAGUGAUCCAGAUUAUACUAGAGUAACUUAUAGUUUUGAACUCUAUCUCUGACAACACCACACACAUAACUUUAUUAAGGUGAAGUUCAAAAAGUCAGCACAUUACGACCAUGUGCUUGUAUCCCAAUAUAGUGAACGUUCUAGAAACUUGCCCAAGAUUUCAUAGGAAGCGGCCUCACUUCCACAUUCACAUAAGUAAGGCUAUCAAGGAUAUUCCUAAAGCUAGAUAUCCCACUCAACAUAGAGUAUAGACCUUACUAAGAGAAAAUUAAAAACUUAACCUAAAAAUGCUUCAGGAUGUCAUGCUUCUUAGGGAUGGACAUGGAAUAAUAUUCCAAAUUAAAAUUAGCAAGACUUCACUUAUAUCAUUUGUGACUUGUUAUUACCCCUUGAACCUACUUCUUAGGAUCUCCAGUCUAUAGGUUGGGUUGCUAUCACAAAUGAUUCAAUUUUCUAAGGGCUUUAGUCCCAUCCCUUUCGAGGUUUUCCAAACCUUUUCUCGCGCUAGUCGUUUCGUCAAAAGAUCAGCCAAGUUCUCCUCAUACCGUAUAUGAUUCACUCCUAUAGCUCCAUUAGAGAGAUAAUCUCUUACAGUGCUAUGCUUACAACGUAUUUGUCUCAUUUUCCCGUUAUAAUAACAUUUUUGUACUUUAGCUAUUGCCGAUGUGCUAUCACAAUGAAUCAAAACUGCUGGAAUCGGUUUCUCCCAUAAAGGGGUAUCUGACAAUAGGUUUCUCAACCAUCCUGCUCCUUGCUUGCCGUAGCUAGCACUAUUAAUGUUGACUCCAUAGUAGACUGAGCCCAGAUAGUCUGUUUCUUCGACUUCCAUGACACAGCACUACCACCAAUACUAAAAAUAUAUCCACUAGUGGCUUUAGAGUCAUCUGACAAGGUAUUCCAAUUAACAUCGCUAUAACCUUCUAGGACAACGGGAAACUUCUCAUUGUGUAAUCUGAAAUUCAUCGUCCUUUUAAGGUAUCUCAUAAGCCUCUCUUUAGCAUGCCAAUGCUCCAAACUAGGUCUGCUAGUGAACAUGCAUAAAACUCGUACGGCAUAAGAUAUAUCAAGCCUAGUGCAAUCAGUAGCAUAACGAAGACUACCAAUAAUGCUCGCAUACUUAGAUUGUUUAACACUGUCACCAAUGUUCUUGAACAAUUUUACACUAGGAUCAUAAGGAGUACAUGUUGGUUUACAAUCAAAAUAAUUAUACUUUCUUAAAAAAAUUUCUAUGCAGUGGGAUUGAUCUAAAGAAAACCCAUUUUCGGACCUAGUUAUUUUCAAACCAAAUAUUACACUAGCUUCACCCAAGUCUUUCAUAUCAAAAUUAGCACAUAAUAAAGUUUUGACAUUAUUCACAACAUGAAUAUUCGAAACAAAAAUAAGCAAAUCAUCCACAUAUAGGCAUAUUAUAGUGCAUAUAUUACUUUCAGACUUAUAAUAGAUGCAUUUAUCACUUUCAUUUAUUUUAAAACCAUUCGAAGUAACCAAACUAUCAAAUUUUGCAUGCCAUUAUUUAGGAGCACGUUUCAAUCCAUAAAGUGACUUAUCUAACUUGCAAACUUUAUUUUCUUGUCCUGGAAUGAUAAAACCCUCUGGUUGAUCCAUAUAUAUUUCUUCCUCUAAUUCACCAUUUAAGAUAGUUGUUUUAACAUCCAUUUGGUGCACAACAAGAUCAUCAAUAGAAGCUAAAGCAAACAAUACACGAAUAGAUGUUAUUCUAGUCACAGGUGAAUAAGUAUCAAAGAAAUCUAUAUUUUCUCUUUGUCUAUAGCCUUUGGCAACAAGUCGGGCUUUAAAUUUUUCAACUGAACCGUCAGGUUUUAAUUUUCUUUUAAGAAUCCAUUUGCAACCUAUUGUUUUGCAACCAGGUGGAAGAUCCACUAAGUGCCAAGUUUGAUUUGACUUCAGGGAGUCCAUUUCAUCAUUUAUAGCUUCUUGCCACAAAUUUGCAUCUAAAGAAGUUAAAGCUUCUUGAAUUGUAUUAGGAUCUUCUUGUAAGUUAUAUAAAUGAAAAUCAGGCCCAAAAUUUUUAGCUAUUCGAGCUCUUUUACUUUUCCUAGGUUCUAAUGCAGAUUGACUAUGUUCUACAAUAGUAGGUUCAUAAAUUUUACAAGAAUUAGAACCCCCACUAUUUCGAAGAUUAAAAGGAAAUUUAUUCUCAUAAAAAUCAGCAUCAAGUGACUCAAUUAUGACAUGGUUUUUCAAAUCAUAAAAUCUAUAUGCUUUGCUAUUACAUGCAUAACCAAUAAAAACACAUUCAUAUGCUCUACUAGCCAAUUUCGAUCUUUUUGGAUCAGGUUUACGAACAUAAGCUAAACAACCCCAAGUUCUGAAAUACAACACAUUUGGUUCUUAUUUUUCCAAAUUUCAUGAGGAGAAAUAUUUGUUUUUGAGUUAGGGAUUCUAUUUAACACAUAACAAACAGUCAACACAAUUUCACCCCACCAAUAGGAAGUAGCUCCAAAACUAAGUAAAGUAGCAACAGUCAAAUCACAAAUAGUUCUUUUUUCUUUUUGCUUUACCAUUCAUUUCAGGAGAAUAAGGAGUAGUAGUUUCAUGAAUAAUUCCAUGAGACUUAAACAAAUUAACAAAUUCAGUAGAUUCAUAUUCUUGUCCUCUAUCACUACAAAAUCUUUUAAUCUUACGAUUAAAUUGAUUUUCAACUUCAGUCAAGAAAGUUUUGAACAUGUCAAUAGCUUCACUUUUAUUUUUCAUAAGAUAGACAAAAUAAUAAUUCGAACAAUCAUCAAUAAAGGUAAUAAAUUAACGUUUUCCAUUUCUAGUUAACACUCUAUCAAAUUCACAUAUAUCAGAAUGAAUUAAGUCAAGUGGUUCAGAUUCUCUAUUGACAGAUUUAUGCGAAGUUCUAGUGAUUUUAGCUUGACUGCAAUAUUCACAUUUUUCAAAAUCAUUCAAUGAUAAGUUAGGUAAAAAGCCUAAGUUACUCAUGUUCUUAACCAAGUGUUUGUUAACAUGACAAAGUCUAGCAUGCCAAGUAUUAAACGAAGACAACAUGUAAGCAGAAGUAGUCAUUUUAUCAAUAUUCAAUUUAAACAUUCCAUCAGUAGCAUAUCCCUUUCCCACAAAAACCCCAUUUUUAGUAAGAGUAUACAUAUCUUAUCCAAAUAUUUGAGUGAAUCAAGCCUUGUUGAGAAGAAAGCUCGAGACAAGAUUCUUCCUUAUCGUCCGAGCGUGCAUCAUAUCUUUCAGUGUCAUGGUUUUUCCAGAUGUGAACUUCAACUCCACAUCUCCAGUACCAUUAACAUCAAUUAAGUGUGAAUCACCCAACAAGACCUUCCUUCCCUCAACCACAAAAUAGGUCUUGAAAAGGGAACGAUCAUAUAUAGCAAACAUGGCGAGAAGCGCCAGUGUCCACCCACCACCCAUUUCUAAUAUCAUUGCAAUUAGUUGCCCUUCAACAAGAUUUGCCUGAGAAGCAGAGUUUUCCUUAUAAUGCAUGGCAGAUUGAAUUCGUCUUAAAUUGUUGAAAUCUGAAAUAGAAAGGAAUGAAGUUACCCGAAAAAUGUAGGGAUGAGUCGCGAACUAAGUCGCUCUCUUUAAGACGUUUUGCGGCUCUACUCAAAAUGUGCAAGCAGUUCACAAACACCACGUCGUCCCCAUGAUAAAACAGCCCAGAACCUUCUUCUGAUAAGAUUCUUCCUUUGCACACCAGAAGAACCUUCGAACUUACACCUUUCCGAUAUGUUGCUUUUUAAAUCAAUAUACGUAAAACUUUUUUUUUCCUUCAUACACUUUUUGCAAUUCACCUAACUAAUAUAUAUAUAGACGUUGGAAGGUGUGAAACCGUAAGAAAUCAAGGAAGUUUAUAUAUAUAUAUAUAUAUAUAUAUAUAUAUAUAUAUAUAUAUAUAUAUAUAUAUAUAUCAAGAGAGUUUAUAUAUAUAUAUCAAGAGCGUUUAUGGGGGUGUAAAACGGUCCGCAAUCAAAAGAGUUAUUAGUGGUGCAAUGUUGUAGGAAAUCAAAACAAAAAAGAGAUAAAAACCACAACGGGACAAUCAAAACGUAAUUCAAAUUCAAACCAGAAAUAAAAACAAAACGGUUUGAUUGUAAAACUCCUUAAGUCAAAAUCAAUUGACUUUUAAUAUUGAUAAUAAAGCAAAACGUUAUGUAUAUAAUAUUGGUAGUAAAACAUAAAUAUAUUUAAAUAAAAACAUAUUUACUCCAACAAGUCUUGUGAUUGGUUCUGUCGUCCUUGCUUAUUCUGAAAUGACUUUGUUGAUGCACAAAACCGGAGAGGUCUUGGAACAACGUAAAUCCGACCGUGAAUCUGCAGAAAUGUUAAUAACACAAGAUGUAUCGUGGUUCACCCCAAUGUUUGCAUUACGUCCACACUGAUUAUUGUAUUUCUCUGAGAUGUUGAAGGGGGAGAGAAGGAGAGAGAGCUUCCUUAUGUGAGGAUGAGCUUCUUUGAAUAUGAGAGGGGAUGUGAGGCCUCUCUAAUUAUGAGGGUGAGAGGUCCUUUUAUAGAAUAAGGGCUCCUCACUUAUUACAUAUUUGCCCCUUCUUUUAUUACAUAAUUACAUUUAAGUCCCCUGAGUAUUUAUACGAGGUCUAAAUACGGAGGCCCUAAGUAUGGUAUAAAUAGUAGUCCCCCAAGUCUUCAGUCAAGAGAGUCUUUUGGCUAGAGACUUGAAAUUCAGUCCAUGUGUGGGCCGAAGUAACUAGAUGUCGUCUAGAACUGAUACUCGAUAUGAGGCGGUGCCCAAUCUGAAAUGAUGCUCAACUAGAAGUAGCACAUGUUGCGAGGUUGCUCUGCUUGUUGCUUAUGUUGCCUUGGUUGGCUCGGCUUGUGGUGUUUAAAGGUGAAGGAGUCCCUUUUAUAGAAUAAGGGCUCGCUCCUCGAUACAUAAAUAUGGGCUAGAGUUGAUGCUUGCGGCGAGACGGUUUCUCAGUAGGCAGUGAUGCUCUCUAAUGAUGGUGAGGGAAUCUCUUUUAUAGAAUAGGGCUCGCUCCUCAAUACAUGAAUAAUGGGCUAGAGUUGAUGCUCUCUAAUGAUGGUGAGGGAGUCCUUUUUAUAAAAUAAAGGCUCGCUCCUCAAUACAUAAAUGAUGGGUUAUGAGUGAUGCUCGCAGCGAGGUGGUUGCUCAGCUGGCGGUGAUGCUCUCUAAUAAAGGUGAGGGAGUCCCUUUUAUAAAAUAAGGGCUCGCUCCUCAGUACAUGAAUAAUGGGCUAAGUCCCCUAAGUAUUUUUUUUAUAAGGCCCAAUAUAUGGUACAUAGUGUAGUCCCCCAAGUUUUCAGUCAAUAGGGUCUGUUGGCUGGAGACUUCAAAUUGAAUCCAUGUAUGGGCCAAAAUGGCGGUUGUUCGGAGGCGAUAUUUGUAUACCCUGCACUGAAGUUUUGUAGGUGAAGCUUUGCAAGUGAAGCUUUGAAGCUGGAGCUCUGUAAAUGAAGCUUUUGAAGCUAGAGCUUUUGUAAAUGAAGCUUUUGAAGCUGGAGCUCUGUAAAUGAAGCUUUUAAAGCUAGAGCUUUUGUAAAUGAAGCUUUUGAACUGAUUGACAUGAGUGAUGCUCAUGAAUGUUUAUGUUGAUUUGACAUGAGUGAUGCUCAUGGAUGUUAACAUGAGUGAUGCUCAUGAAUGUUUAUGUAUGAUUGACAUGAGUAAUGCUCAUGUAUAAUUUGAAGUACUGGGCGUACUUUUGAUCACCUGGUUGGUGGUGAUAGCGGCAAGUUGCCGAAUAAUUUUGGAGUACUGAGCGUACUUUUGAUCACCUGGUGGGUGCUAUUUUGGGCUUAUGGGCCUUCGCCCUCCACACAACAUUCCAGCCCAUUUAUUUUGGGCUUUUCCGUUUUUUUUUAAUUAUUACCCUCUGAUGGGGUUUAUACAAAUAUCUCCGAAAGAUACGAAAAAUAAAUUACACCAUUCAACAAUAAGGAAAGUAAACCACAUCACUCUGGUGGGGUGUUUAUUCCUUGCUUUUGCAAUGUGGGUGUUUAUUCCUUGCUUUUGCUUGUGUUUUUUUUGCUGCACUCUCUCUGUCUCUUCAUCUGGCAAACAAAAGGAAUCAUAAUAAUAGGAAGAUCUUUUGCUUUUCUUAUUCUCUCCACUGCGUCUCUGUCUUUUGCUUUUGUGCCGUAGCUCACUUGAUUGUUUUUCUUUCUGCUUUCUUCUUUUGCUUUUCUUUCACUUUUCUCUUUUGGCAUGGCAGACAACACCAAAGUGGAAUAAUAAUGGUAUUGUUGUAAGACAGCUUAUCUAUAUCUCUACUUUCAUCAUUGGCAGCGGACUGUGAUCUUAGCUUUUGCUUUUCUUGGUAUCUCCAUCAGCAUCUGUUGAAGGUUUAGAGGAGGAAAAAGGUCGGCGGAAAAAAACCGGCUGGGGGUGGAAGUGGCGCUCUUGCUCCGCGACGGGGAUGACUUCUUGAGGUAAUGGGCAGGGCUGGGAUUGUAGAAGGAGUAGGAGACUUCGGAUUGGGCAGAGCAGAUUGAGGAGAGAGCACGACCCCGGCUGCAUGUACCAUAGCCGCAUUUCUCAGGUGGCCACCAAUCAAGAGUUGCACAAAUAAAAUCGUCGUCGAUUUUGGUAAUGGCGUCUCUGCCAUUGAUGCGGACUAUACCUUCCACACUUCCUCCUCCAAACCCCACCUUUGAAUUUACAGUAUAAACCAAGAAACUAAAAGAAAACCCAGAAAAUGAAUCUCAUUUACAAGAUAUCAGAACUCAUCUGCAACAAGAUCUCUGUCUCUGUCUCUAUGUUUUUCUUUCUCUCUCCCUCUCUCAAAUUCUCGAACCCAAUUUCCGAUUCCAAGAAACUGACUUGCUUCUCACACCUGCCCCAUUGACUAAAUCAAUUUUAGAGGAAAAACAACCCCAAAUGUCCUGUUGAACUGAUGGAUUCAUAUCUACCUCUCUGACAGGUUACCAAUUUGACAAGGGCUGUUUGUUUUCUCCACCUUUAAUUUUCAAAUAGGACCACUUAUCGGCAAGUUCACGACUUUGAGAGGGGAAGACGAAGGUGUUCCAGCCUCUCUAGACGGCGACCGUCAUGACAUGCUUGCUCUCCGUCCACACCCACAUCCUCUUCAACUUGCUGUACGUCCCCGAAGACGACGUCAUGGAAGACCCGAUAGCAGCGGCGAAGGAAGAGUUCUGGGAAACCAUUGAGUGUCUAUGCAAUGAAAUCAAUCUGUAAAUGUUCCAUUUAUCUGUGGUGAGGCAAAUAUAUUACUGUUUUGUGGAUUGACCUUUGAGGGAUAUUUCUGGGUUGAGAGAUAGAGAGAUAGAAAGAGUAAUUAAAAAAAAGAAGGUGAUUUGUAGAGAGAGAGAUAGAGUUCAAAAUUUGAGGAUUACUGAGCACCGCCUAACGGAGGGCGUUGCAGUGGCCAUAGUGCAUCAUGUCGAAGCAGCCGUCCAUGUAAACCCGAACGGGUCUGUUCUUCUUCCUCCGCCAUGGAAGUCCCAAAGGCAGUUGUGGUCCGCCGCGUUCUUCUGAGCCCAGAAGAGAAAUCCCGACCCCGACCCCCGCUGCCACCGCCACCCUGCCGACGAGACAAGUGGCUACAAACCUCGCCCAGCUCCGCGCGUUCUCUGAGUUCCCAUCUUCCAAAACCAUCUCGAAGCUUCUGAAAUUUUCCAAAUCAAAUCAAAACGAAAGCGAUUUCCUCUUCCUUUGAUUCAACCCAACAUUUUCUUCGGCGUAUCAAAUCGAAAAAUUGAAGAAAGUCGGCAACUUUUUUAUUUGCAAUUGUUGGGUUCUAGUCAGCGGUUCCCCUCACUUUUCUGAUGACAGUAGCGAGGAAGAAGGAGAAUGAGGGAGGCCAGAGUGGGCAAUGAUGAGAUUUGGGGAAAUGUUUGGGGGCAAAGUAAGGAAAAGAAGGAGGGCGUUUAAGGAGAGGGUGGACUGAGCGAGAGAGGAUGACGCAAGUUGUCAUGAGCACGUUGAGUACAAGAAGAGAAACCAAUAAGACUCUGUUUCAUAAGAGAAGGUUGUGUCGUCUUCCGUAGGCUCUCUUUCUGCUCUGAUCCUUGUUGUUCCUUUACUUUAGCAUGGAAGGUUGUGGCCUCUCCUGUGAAGCUAAAAAUUAUGAUCUCUCUAAAAAUCCUUGUUCUGAUCUCUCUAAAAAUCCUUGUUCUGAUCUCUCUAAAAAUCCUUGUUCUGAUCUCUCUAAAAGAUGUGGGUGAUGGCAGGCGAGAAGGAUGGCGAGGGCUGAAGAAUAGGUGAUGCUCUCUGAUGGCCGAGAGAGUUUCGGUUGUCUUUUGGGUUUUGCAGAUCCACGGCAGAGGUGAAAAAUUGAAAGAGAACCGACAUAACUUUUCGUGUCGAUUCCCACAGACGGCGCCAAAUAUUGAUGCACAAAACCGGAUGGGUCUUGGAACAACAUAAAUCCGACCAUGAAUCUGCAGAAAUGUAAAUAACAUAAGAUGUAUGACGGUUCACCCCAAUGUUUGCGCUACGUCCACACUGAUUAUUGUAUUUUUCUGAGAUGUUGAAGGGGGAGAAAGGGAGAGAGAGCUUCCUUAUGUGAGGAUGAGCUUCUCUGAAUAUGAGAGGGGAUGUGAGGCCUCUUUAAUUGUGAGGGUGAGGGGUCCUUUUAUAGAAUAAGGGCUCCUCACUUAUUACAUAUUUGCCCCUUCAUUUAUUACAUAAUUACAUUUAAGUCCCUCGAGUAAUUAUACGAGGUCUAAAUACGGAGGCCCUAAGUAUGGUAUAAACAGACUUAUAUCGCCUAGCUUUAACAUCAUUCCCAUUAACUGAGAAUUUGACUUUGCCCUCGUUGUCCGAUUUAUGAAGAAUUCUUGUAGCGUCUGGUGCAGACUUAACAACUUGAGCAAACAGUGAUUGAUCAUUCGGAUGAACAGGCUUCUUCAUAAAGAUUGACUCUAUACAACAACAACAACAACAACAACAAAGCCUUUUCCCACUAAGUGGGGUCGGCUAUAUGAAUCCUAGAACGCCAUUGCGCUCGGUUUUGUGUCAUGUCCUCCGUUAGAUCCAAGUAUUCUAAGUCUUUUCUUAGAGUCUCUUCCAAAGUUGUCCUAGGUCUUCCUCUACCCCUUCGGCCCUGAACCUCUGUCCCGUAGUCACAUCUUCGAACCGGAGCGUCAGUCGGCCUUCUUUGCACAUGUUCAAAAUCACCGGAGCCGAUUUUCUCUCAUAUUUCCUACAAUUUCGGCUACUCCUACUUUACCUCGGAUAUCCUCAUUCCCAAUCUUAUCCUUUCUCGUGUGCCCACACAUCCCACGAAGCAUCCUCCUCAUCUCCGCUACACCCCAUUUUGUGUACGUGUUGAUGCUUCACCACCCAACAUUCUGUGCCAUACAACAUCGCUAGCCUUAUUGUCGUCCUAUAAAAUUUUCCCUUGAGCUUCAGUGGCCUACGACGGUCACACAACACGCCGGAUGCACUCUUUCCAUCCAGCUCGUAUUCUAUGGUUGAGAUCUCCAUCUAAUUCUCCGUUCUCUUACAAGAUAGAUCCUAGGUAGCGAAAACGAUCGCUUUUUGUGAUCUUCGCUAGAUUGCUCCGGUCAUUAGUGUGGAUAAGUAUAUAAAUGGAUAGAGAUAGGAAAGCAAACACAAGAUGUACGUGGUUCACCCAGAUUGGCUACGUCCACGGAAUAGAAGAAGAGUUCUCAUUAAUUGUGAAGGGUUUUACACAAGUACAUAGGUUCAAGCUCUCAUUUAGUGAGUACAAGUGAAUGAUUUAGUACAAAUGACAUUAGGAAAUAUUGUGGGAGAAUGAUCUCAUAAUCACGAAACUUCUAAGUAUCGGAGUGUAGUGUCGUCUUGACUUGCCUUAUCUGUCUCAUAGGUAGAUGUGGCAUCUUCUCUGGAAGUACUCUUCCUCCAUCCAGGGGUGGUAUCUUUAACUGGUGGAGAUGCACAAGGUAAUGUAUCAAUUUCACUUGAAGCUUACUUGUAGUUUCAGGCUUGGUCAAGCGCGAUACAAACCAUGUAGUAGGAGUCCCCCAAGUCGCCGAGCUAGGGGGUCUGCUGAAAGAGGUGACAGACAAGGUAAGCAAUCAGAGCUCCGACUGAUUGUUCACCUUCUCCCCAUCUUGCAGCAGCAUGAAGGAUAAAGAGAAGAAAAAUGAGAAGAGAUGAUAUGAGAUACUUUUGCUUUUGAAGAAGUAACUUUCCACAGGCUUAUUCUUGAACUGAGCUGGAGGGUUUUCUGGUUUCCUCCAGAGUAUAAGGCCGACUGAAGAAUUUGAGGGUCAAAACAAGUCCAUCAAAUCUAGAGUACGUUCCACCCUGCUGAUAUGGGAUACUUUUGCUUUUGACAGAGUAAUGAAUGUAUCGGCACGUGUGCUGUUACGCUUGUCUCCACAUGCUUCCUUGUAUCCUUCGCACUUGCCCUAUCUGUUCCUCAAGCAGAUGCGGAAUCUUCCCUGGAAACAUAAGAUGUUGAAGAUGAGUACUCGAGAGCAAUGCCAGGUAAGUAAUCAGGUAAGGGGUUCCAGGCAGUCAGUUCCUGGCUGGAAGCUUGAUUCCAAGUGCUGACUGAUUGCUCUCUUUCUCCUUGUCUUGCAGGUAAAAACAAGGCCAAAAGAAAAGACAGGGAAAAAGCAUGAUAUGGGAUACUCUUGCUUUUAACCCUGAUGAUAUGAGAUAUUCUUGCUCUAGUAUAGCUUGUUUGCAGAGGUAUUAUCGGGGGGAAAGAAAGCUGAAUAUUUCGAAAGGCUUCGUUGUUGGAGUGCCCUCUCAGAUAUGAUGAAGGGUUGAGCAUUUUUGCAGGUCUGCCUGUCCGUUGGGCAUGGAGGUCGACAUAUAUAGGAGUCUCCCUAACAACAAGUAGUAAUGCUAUUCCUUUACCCUGCUUGGUUAUAGCACGGUAGUGGGAGCUGCCAGUUUCACAUGUUUUAACUAUGUCAGAGAGCACUUUGAAAAAGUGGUCUGUGGUAUCUGGCUCUCGAGAUUCGGAGAAACGAUGCCUCUUCGAUUUUUGAGAAAAUAAUCAUGCUGGGGGUAUGACUCUCGAGAUUCGGAGAGCAGUGUCUCUUCGAUUUUGGGGAGUGUCUCAUGUGGGAGUCUGGCUCUCGAGAUUCGGUUGGGCGUCUGCCUCUUGAUUUUGAGAAGCAUUGGGUUGGGAGUGCUCGAUUUUGCAAUUGUUGUUUUAGUGUUGUCCUUGUCGAUUUUGAGAAAGGUUGGGCAGUCUCUGUUUGGGUAGUCUAACCUUGGCUCUCUGGAGUCACAUGGCUCCAAUUAUCCAGCACAUGGUUACUGGUUCCUGGCCUCUUCGAUUUUGAGAAAGUAGUCAUGUUGGGAGUCUGGCUCUCGAGAUUCGGAGGACAGUGCCUCUUCGAUUUUGGAGCAAGCAAUCUUAUUGGGAGUGUUUUCUCGAAUGUGAGUAAAGGUUGGCAUGUUUGCUAGUCUACCUUGCCACGAAGCACAGAGGUUGACACACAGGACUUUCCAAUUAUCCAGCAGUGGUACUGUUCAGUUUGGUACUGUUCCUUUACAGUUGUGGGUAAUAAUAUGGUAGCUAGACCUUCAAAAUUUAUGUGUCUAAACUUUUGUUAGUGCUGUUUCUUUGCUAUUCUUUUACCUUUCUUGGUCAGAGCGAUGUAGUGGGAGCUGCAAGCUUCACGUGCUCAACUUUGGCAGAGAACUUUGGCAAAGUUAUUUGUGUACCCAUGAGCUAUAUUGUGGGGUGUGGGGUGGGUGAUUGAACAGUAAGAUUCAUGUGCUUUCUACUUCACCAGAAGUCUUCGACAGAAUGCCCAUAAUUUCUGCAAAGCUGAGUGUGCGUGUGGCAGGUGCGGACAAGGCUAGAAAAGUAGGUGCCUCUUCGAUUUCUGAGAUCGGCCCUCGUGGUCUCUGAGCAGCCCAGCUUUUGAGAAAGCGAGCGCCUCUUCGAUUGAUUCGGAGAACGAUGCCUCAUCGAUUUUUGAGAAAGCAAUCAUGCUGGGGGUCUGGCUCUCGAGAUUCGGGGAGCAGUGUCUCUUCGAUUUUUUAGAAAGUAAUCAUGUUGGGAGUCUGGCUCUCGAGAUUCGGAGGGCGGUGCCUCUUCGAUUUUGAAGCAAGCAAUCUUGUUGGGAGUGUUUUCUCGAAUGUGAGUAAAGGUUGGGCAUGUUUGCUAGUCUACCUUGCCACGAAGCACAGAGGUUGACACACAGGGACUUUCCAAUUAUCCAGCAAUGGUACUGUUCCUUUACCCUCUCUUCGAUUUUUAAGAAAGUAGUCAUGUUGGGAGUCUGGCUCUCGAGAUUCGGAGGACGGUGCCUCUUCGAUUUUGGAGCAAGCAAUCUUAUUGGGAGUGUUUUCUCGAAUGUGAGUAAAGGUUGGGCAUGUUUGCUAGUCUACCUUGCCACGAAGCACAGAGGUUGACACACAGGGACUUUCCAAUUAUCCAGCAGUGGUACUGUUCCUUUACCAUUGUGGGUAAUAAUAUGGUAGCUAGACCUUCAAAAUUUAUGGGUCUAAACUUUGUUAGUGCUGUUUCUUUGCUAUUCUUUUACCCUUCUUGGUCAGAGCGAUGUAGUGGGAGCUGCAAGCUUCACGUGCUCAACUUUGGCAGAGAACUUUGGCAAAGUUAUCUGUGGUACCCAUGAGCUAUUGUUGCGUGUGGGAAGUGGGUGAUUGAACAGUAAGAUUCAUGUGUUUUCUACUUCCCCAGAAGUCUUUGACAGAAUGCCCAUAAUUUCCGCAAAACUGAGUGUGCGUGUGACAGGUGCUGACAAGGCUGGAAAAGGCUGGAAAAGUAGGUGCCUCUUCGAUUUCUGAGAUCGGCCCUCGUGGUCUCUGGGGAGCCCAGCUUUUGAGAAAGCGAGCGCCUCUUCGAUUUUUGAGAUCGGCCUUCGUGGUCUUUGAGCAGCCCAACUUUUGAGAAAGCAAACGCCUCUUCGAUUUCUGAGAUCAACCCUCGUGAUCUCUAAGCAGCCCAGCUUUUGAGAAAGCAAACGCCUCUUCGAUUUCUGAGCAGGCGCCUCUUCGAUUUCUGAAGCUUCGUCGAGUGCAGAUUUUUAUAGGGGCUGGCAUUAAGUUCCAAAGCACACUUGAAUCUCCACCAGUAGAAUCUUCAUUCUUGCACUUCUAAGAUCUUGAUUUGUCCGACCUCUUUUCUCUUCAACACCUUUGAAAAUGUCUGGCCCCUCCGACCGUCGUUUUGACUUGAACCUUGUUGAAGAGGCAGCCCCGCCUUCUCCAGAAAACAUAUGGCGCCCAUCCUUCGUCUCCCCUACUGGUCCUCUUACCGUUGGGGAUUCCGUGAUGAAGAAUGAUAUGACCGCUGCGGUGGUGGCCAGGAACCUUCUCACUCCCAAAGAUAACAGACUACUUUCCAAACGGUCUGAUGAGUUAGCUGUUAAGGAUUCGCUGGCUCUCAGUGUUCAGUGUGCAGGUUCUGUGUCUAAUAUGGCCCAACGCCUAUUUGCUCGAACCCGCCAAGUUGAAUCAUUGGCGGCUGAAGUGAUGAGUCUCAAACAGGAGAUUAGAGGGCUCAAGCAUGAGAAUAAACAGUUGCACCGGCUCGCACAUGACUAUGCUACAAACAUGAAGAGGAAGCUUGACCAGAUGAAGGAAACUGAUGGUCAGGUUUUACUUGAUCAUCAGAGAUUUGUGGGUUUGUUCCAAAGGCAUUUAUUGCCUUCGUCUUCUGGGGCUGUACCGCGUAAUGAAGCUCCAAAUGAUCAACCUCUGAUGCCUCCUCCUUCUAGGGUUCUGUCCAGUACUGAGGCUCCAAAUGAUCCCCCUCCGGUGCCUUCUCUUUCUGGGGCUCUACCGACUGCUGAGACUUCUCCUAAGCAACCUUUGUGAAGGCUCCCUCUUGUGUGCUUAUUUUGACUCAUGUAUAUGUACAUAUUUGUAGCUUAUCGGGGAUAUCAAUAAAUAAGCUUUCCUUCAUUUCAACGUAUUGUGUUAAAUACACCAAAGCCUUCUUCGCUAAGUUCUUUGAAUUUUCUUUUGUUAAAGCUUGUAUGUUGAAGCUUUCUGAGUGGAGCAUGUAGGUUGGGGUAGUGUUCCCUUAAUUUCCCGAGUGAGGAAAACUUCUCGGUUGGAGACUUGGAAAAUCCAAGUCACUGAGUGGGAUCGGCUAUAUGAAUCUUAGAACGCCAUUGUGCUCGAUCCUGUGUCAUGUCCUUCGUUAGAUCUAAGUACUCUAAGUCUUUUCUUAGAGUCUCUUCCAAAGUUUUCCUAGGUCUUCCUCUACCCCUUCGGCCCUGAACCUCUGUCCCAUAGUCGCAUCUUCUAAUCGGAACGUCAGUAGGCCUUCUUUGCACAUGUCCAAACCACCGUAACCGAUUUUCUCUCAUCUUUCCUUCAAUUUCGGCUACUCCUACUUUACCCCGGAUAUCCUCAUUCCUAAUCUUAUCCUUUCUCGUGUGCCCACACAUCCAACGAAGCAUCCUCAUCUCCGCUACACCCAUUUUGUGUACGUGUUGAUGUUUCACCGCCCAACAUUCUGUGCCAUACAGCAUCGCCGGCCUUAUUGCCGUCCUAUAAAAUUUUCUCUUGAGCUUCAGUGGCAUACGGCGGUCACACAACACGCCGGAUGCACUCUUCCACUUCAUCCAUCCAGCUUGUAUUCUAUGGUUGAGAUCUCCAUCUAAUUCUCCGUUCUUUUGCAAGAUAGAUCCUAGGUAACGAAAACGGUCGCUCUUUGGUAUUUCUUGAUCUCCGAUCCUCACCCCUAACUCGUUUUGGCCUCCAUUUGCACUGAACUUGCACUCCAUAUAUUCUGUCUUUGAUCGGCUUAGGCGAAGACCUUUAGAUUCCAACAAUUCUCUCCAAAGGUUAAGCUUUGCCUUUACCCCUUCCUGAGUUUCAUCUAUCAACACUAUAUCGUCUGCGAAAAGCAUACACCAAGGAAUAUCAUCUUGAAUAUGUCCUGUUAACUCAUCCAUUACCAACGCAAAAAGGUAAGGACUUAAGGAUGAGCCUUGAUGUAAUCCUACAGUUAUGGGAAAACUUUCGGUUUGUCCUUCAUGAGUUAUUACGGCAGUCUUUGCUCCUUCAUACAUAUCCUUUAUAGCUUGGAUAUAUGCUACUCGUACUCCUUUCUUCUCUAAAAUCCUCCAAAGAAUGUCUCUUGGGACCCUAUCAUACGCUUUUUCCAAAUCUAUAAAGACCAUGUGUAAAUCCUUUUUCCCAUCUCUAUAUCUUUCCAUCAAUCUUCGUAAGAGAUAGAUUGCCUCCAUGGUUGAGCGCCCUGGCAUGAACCCGAAUUGGUUGUCCGAAACCCGUGUCUCUUGCCUCAAUCUAUGCUCAAUGACUCUCUCCCAGAGCUUCAUUGUAUGACUCAUUAGCUUAAUACCCCUAUAGUUCAUGCAAUUUUGUACGUCGCCCUUAUUCUUGUAGAUAGGCACCAAAGUGCUCAUUCGCCACUCAUUUGGCAUCUUCUUCGUUUUCAAAAUCCUAUUGAAAAGGUCAGUGAGCCAUGUUAUACAUGUCUCUCCCAAAAGUUUCCACACUUCGAUUGGUAUAUCGUCUGGGCCUAUUGCUUUUUUAUGCUUCAUCUUCUUCAAAGCUACAACCACUUCUUCCUUCCGGAUUCGACGAUAAAAAGAGUAGUUUCUACACUCUUCUGAGUUACUCAACUCCCCUAAACCCUUGACUCUAUACAAUCUCCAAAUUUCCUGCAUAUACAUGAUGAGUCAAAUUGUUGAAGAUGAUGAUAAUGAAUCAAUAGUAGAGCCAUACAUAUCUUGACACAUAAAACUGAUCAUAUGUCAUACCAUCUCAACUAAUCAUAUGUUGUUCCAUCUAUGAAUUAGAGAUUCGACAAGUUAUGAUCGGUUAAGAUGGUACAAACUAUUUAUAUUUCAACAUCUGGUCAACAGUCAACUACUAACCACACUGAUAUUGCCUCAACUUAACUACAUGCACAUCUCGGCAGUUGCUGAAUUUCUAUCACAAAAACCCCUGGUGCAAUUAGAUGUGUAACCAUUCAAUAAAAGUUGAGUAAUCAAUGAAAAAAAAAGAGUAAAGUCUUCUUCUUAAAUAGCUUUUGAACAACUUUUGACUACCUGUUUAAAUAGCUUUUGAGUUCUUCUUUUGAAAUAGGAUGACCCUUUGAGAAUGUCAAUAAUAAAGUUCUAUCAUUGUUGUCAACAUUAGGUUGGUGCACAUCAUCAUAUGCUUCACGAGUCGGAGUCGCCUAAUGCGACAUGUACGACAAGACUGGGUGUAAUCAUAAUAUAUGCUCUAGUGCUACGAUCAUGCGAAGACUAGCAAUAAUCGCGGUCACCUACGAGUCGGAAUCACCUAAUACGACAUGUAUGACAAGUUUGCUCCUACUUGGAUCCAAGGCGAGUAUGUGGUGUGGAGGUGAACAUCACGUGAAGGACUGACCCUAGCCCGGGGCGAGCACUAACACUAGAGGUGCAACAAUGAUGAGCAGACUACAUGAAUAUAUGCAUGCCAUAAUGAUUCAAAUCAACAUAAUUAACUUACCUGAACUUACCUGCGCAAUGUCGUAGGAUUAUUUUAGCAUUUCACAACAGUGCAACAUUGAUGAGUAGGUAAAAUGUAUAUGAAAAUGCCAUGACAAUAUGUAUAAAUCCCAACCACAUAACAACAUUUUUAAAAUUAAAUAAAUCAUGGCACGAUAUGCACAAAUCAAUUUAAAAGCAUUUGUGAAAACUAUAAAGUUUAUAUAUACACGAAAACAAAAUGCCCACUCACUGAUAUGUCGAUGGAUCGUAGGCCCCAAGCCUCGCUUGUCCUCAUACGUCAUCAGGAUAAAUUUCCCCUAUAUGCAAAACAACUAAUAAUAAUUAAUUAAUUAACACAUACACUAAAAGCUAGGAAAAGCCCCUUAUAGUUUGCUUAAACGGAAGGUUUGAAUAUACGAAAACGUUCUACUCGAUGUCACGGACCCGUACGUGUCAACCAUUCACCGGCCAGCGACCGGACGCGCCCUUACGCGCCGCCAGCUUGCGGCCACACGCGUAGGCCACGUGUCUGAUAGAAGCUAAUAGAUGUCAGGAGUAUUCUGUCAGACUUGACGAAAUAUUCUAUUAAAUAGUAACGGCGUUACCUGGCGUCGUUAGAAUAUUCCGUCAACUUUGACGAAAUAUUCUUUGUCUUCUCUUGUGAUCCUCGUCAUCUGCCGGCGCCGCUGUCUGGUUUUGCCUGAAACUGGAAAUCUUUGCCGAUUUUCUGGAAAAUUUUCAAAUUUGCAUAACUUAUUCAUUUCUCAACCAUUUCCAAUGAAAUUUAUAUGGAAUUGAAGCCCAUGAUGAGGAGAAAAAGAUCGUACCUCUUGAGAAUCCAAAAAUGGACGGAAAAUGGCCUGAAAAAUCCUCGAAAGAUUUGGCCUAGUUUUCGACUCUUCGAAACUGUGUGUUUUGACAUUGUCUCCACUCCAAACUUAGCCUAGUGACUCCAAGGAGUUGUGUGGAUGCCUCCGCAACCUUCAAAACUUUGUAACUCUACCGAGAUCACAUCGGAGCUAACUUGUCCGAGUCAGAGCUUCAGAGUUGGCGAGUCAAAACUCAACCACUUCAAGAUCGGUUUGUACAGUUGGGUUCGUGAGGAUAAGAGGAUCACGAUGGUGGUAUUUUUAAGUUCAAUAUGUGAGUGUUUGAUGAAGGUCCUUGUAGUUGCAGAGAAGAGGGAGGUACAGGUGAGAGAGAGAGAGAGAGAGAAAGAGAGAAAGAGAGAAAGAGAGAGAGAGAGAGAGAGAGAGGAAGAAGAUGAGAGAGAGGGAAUGCCAACUUUUCUGAUUGGUGGAAAAGUGAGGGAAGUUGUCUGGUUGGUUGAGAGAAUUGAGGAGUGAAAUUGAUUAGUGGUGAGGGAUUUGAGGGCACGGGUCCAAUUUUAAAGAAAACAGAUAGGGUUUGUACAAUAUUAAUCAAACGAAAUCUAACGUACCUUAUCUGAAACAGUAGUUUCCAGUACUAAAUUAUUAACGCACACAUGUACAACUAUACCUCGUUGCUAACGUACUUUAAUGUAACGUAACAUUUUCGUUACAAAUCCGAUACGAGUCUAGUUCGUGCUCACGCGAUAGUAACAACGAGUACAAUUUAAUUACGAUAGUGAGGAAAAUAAUUUAAAACUGCAUAAUCACGUCCACGUCACCUUGCCAACAAAGGCAUAAAUGUCAAUUUACACACCCGGGAAGAAAUUACAUAGAAAAUUAGGGUUGGGUCGUCACAAUGAGACUCAUGUAUGAGGACUCUUUGAAUCUCUAUCUUUCCAUGAAAUAAAUAAAUCAUAUUUCCAGUAUGUUAGGCAUGGCAUCCUUUAUUUAUUUGCAAAUUGCAUUACUUAUUUAAGACUUCAUCUUAGUUUAAGCAUUUACAUUCCGUAUGUUAGGCAUGUCAUCCUUUAUUUAUUUGCAAAUUGCAUUAUUUGUUUACGACUUCAUCUUAGUUUAAGCAUAUACAUUGCUUACCUUUCUAGUAAAAGAUAAGUAUAUGCAUACACCCAAAACAUAAAGGUCCCAAGCCAAAAAGCAAAGAAAACAGAAAGGUGAGCCGUUAGCAUCGCGACCGAUAAAAUAAAUCAAUAUCAAGCAACAUUGCCAUCUUCUUUUUUUAUAUAUAAAUAUUAUUAUUAAUGGGUAAAGAGGGUUCAAAAUUAUCACAAUAAUUUAAGAGAUGGAUAGUUGUGAACACGAGAUAUAUGGAUGAAAACCCAACAACUUACUCACUAAAAUAAUGAACCACAUGUAAUAUUGUCAUCUUCUUCCAUAGGCAAUAUUCUUCAUGUAUGCAUAGACGGAGCCACCCUAGGCCUACUGGAGGCGGACGCCCCCACUCACAUUGGUUCUUAAACAAAAAACGGUACAUGUAGUAUCAACUUUCAAGCUAAAACCUCACUUAAUAACCACUCUAUUGAAAUAGAACUUACAUUUUGCCAACAACUCCCCCAUCCAUUAUUUUAUGCCAUAUACAAUAGAGAAGAAGCAUAAUGGACAUGAUUGUAGGCAUUGGCUACAAUACUUACAUGUAUUUAAUACAAUAACCAUCUGACAAUCAAUAUAAUUCAUGUAAUUAAAUGCAUUUAAUAUAAUCACUAUCUGACCGUCAAGGUGGGUGAUUUGUAUUAAAUAUAUAAGUAUUAUAAUUUUAUUAUAAUUCAGAGUUUUUCGCUCAAAUUGAUUUAUGUUAUCAUUUUUGUUUACUUGCUCUAUUUGUUUUGUUUCUUCCUGUUUGUGUAUAUUGGGUUGAACUUUUUAAUUUUACUUUAUUAUUUUAGGAUGUUCCCAAUCAAAAAAGUAUCUAGCUCCAUCCCUGCAUGUAUGUAUGGGACUUAGCUUUAAACCAAGUUUAACAGUCAAUUAGUGUUUUUUUAAUCAAUGACGAUAGAUAUUCAAAGUUUAGACUUAUGUAGUACAAGAGAAACAUUAAUAAAUCAAAAGUUAGUUGGCGAACGAGGAAGAUUUGAACUUGAAACAUCUUUUUAACAAUAUUCUGUUAGUUUUCUAAAAUCUCCAUUAACAACGACGGCUUCAAUCAAGGGCCCUACUGAGCAUCUUUGUGUCGGCUGAAACCAACUUGAAUGAAAUGAAUCAUAGACUUGCAAAUAAAAAUGAUUUAGAAGUAAAGAAUGGGAAACUGUUUCACAGUCCCAGCUGAAUUUUAGAGAAAAGACAAGAGUUCUGCAAUUCACAUAACUAUUUUUUUACUUCUCAAACAUUCUUUUUAAUUUUUCGACCAUCGAAUAGAAUAAAUUGAAGAAGAUCAAUAGCUAAAAAUUAACAAGAGUAUGUGAGAAAUAAAAAUUGAGUGUGUGAACAUCACUAUCCAAAAGCAAAAGAUAUUGGGUUUUUUUCCCGCUAUUUCUCACUAGUGGAGCAGAUUGCCAAGGGAUUUGCAAACUUAUCUAUAUUAUUUUUUAUUAUGCACACGUAGACAAAAUCUUGAAUCCGCAACUAAUUUCUAAUGUUGUAUUUGAUAUUAAUUAACUUUCAACUUAUCAUAAAAUAGGCUUCUCGGCUUAUCCAAUGACCAAAUUUUACGAUUCAUUUAAACGUUCAGAAGAGAUCUCGACGUAAAAUCUUUCGUAGCCCUAUGGUGUUUGAAAAUGCCUUUCAUCCAUUAGGCUAGAAAUUAUAUUGCUAGUGCUAUACACUAGUAAAUCCUUCAAGCUGGAAGUACUAGAGAAUUAGCAUGCAAAUAUUUCAGAUAGAAAUGCUACAAGAACUAAAUGCUUUUCAAGUUUUGGACAAAAUGACAUGAAAGUAUUUUAGCUAAUAAAAGUAAAUAAGAUGAAAAGCAAGGUCGAAAUAUGAACAAAUAAAUUUAUUAGCCACAUCAGUUGGUGGUGUCUAAAAAUCUGGGAUUUGUUUUGAUGCUUGUGGUAUUUACUCAAUAUUUUACACCAGUCCCUACCACAAGCACAUUGUUUUCAUUUGCAACGAUCUUUUUUUCUUUGAGGAAGGGUUGGUGUCUCGCACGCGACUAUUGAAGAAGAGCUAAUCUCGCCUAAUCAUUCUCUGGAAAAAAAAAAAAUCUAAAGUUUAAGGGUUAGAAGACAAUAAUUGAGUGGGUAGUAAGCACCUGUUUUAAUGGAAAAAAAAUGUGUUAAUUGACAAAAAUGUCUUAAUCAAUGAAAGUAUGAUAAUAUGUUAGAAGACAAUAAUUGAGUGGGUAGUAAGCACCUGUUCAAAUACAAAAAUACUAAUUAAAAUUUCUCCACUAAUGGAGAAUUGAAGAAUGGCAAACGUGCGUGCUUUGUGGUGGCGUUGGAUUGAAGGAUUUUAUUAACCGAUGCAGUGGCUUCAUGUUGAAUAUCACACUUUGAGCUAGCUUGGUACUUGCCACACCGCCAUGGAUGAGUCCCUCUCCCACGCCGAUAUCUCAUCAGAUUCUGGUAGAAGAAGCGGUGGUUGGAUCACUUUCCCGUUCAUCAUUGGUCUCUCUCUCUCUCUCUCUCUCUCUCUCUCUCUCACAAGUCCUAAUCACUAUUCAAUUCAUUUGUGUGGUCCAUUUGCAAUUGUAUUGGCUACAAAUGUCUCAUUCUUUACGUGCAGGGAUGAGACUGCGCACAGAAAUAAGACAGGUUGUUUGUGAUUACUUUUAGAAUAGCGAAAAGUUAGUUUAACAGUGUUUGACAGAAAACUUGAGAAACGUUUUCUAGAGAAGUACCUGUUCAGAUAACACUCAAAAGUGACACUUGAAUUUUAAUCAAAAUUUUAACUUUUUCUAAUAUAACUGUUUCUAGGAAAAACACUUCCGAGUAAUUGCUCCCUUCAUAAAGCAGUCUCAAAUAGUCGGUUUAUUGAGCAGGGGCUUUGGGAGGCUUGACACUUGCAGCUGGGGGAUGGAUCUCAAAUUUGAUUGUGUUUCUGAUUGAAGAGUUCAAUGUAAACAGCAUUGAUGCUGCCCAGAUCUCAAAUGUAGUUUACGGUUCUUUCAGUUUUUUCCCAAUCAUUGGAGCAAUCAUAGCUGACUCUUUCUUUGGCUCAUUCUACGUUAUCUCAAUAUCCUCUUGCAUUUCCUUGCUGGUAAUGAAAAAGUCAACUUCUUUACUACAUGCUUUCACCCUAUAUAAAACAUACAUGAUUUCUGUGGUUAUGGAUAAUACAAUUUCUUGUCAAUUUGAUCUGAGAUCAUGUAGAUUGUUCAUCCACUGAUCAUCUGAACUGUCAUUUCAAUAUUAGAUUGGCAAUCCAACAAUAUAACAUGCAAGCUGAUAUAACAUGUACGAAUGUGUACUAGACAUUCUCCAUAAAUAUAUGAACUAGGGUAGCAUUCUAAAUAAUUGAUAAAUUCGUUGCAGGGCAUCGUUCUCUUAGUUUUAACCGCAACGCUGAAUUCUUUGAAGCCUCAACCUUGUGCUACCGGCUCAAAGUUAUGCCAACCGACCUCGGCAUUACAGUAUGCAGUCUUGUACACAGGCAUAACUCUCGCAUCUCUAGGCUUGGGAGGUACCCGCUAUACCUUGGCAACACUUGGAGCCAAUCAAUUUGACAAGCCUAAGCAUCAAGCAAGUUUCUUCAACUGGUUCUUCUUCACUCUGUACUCUAGUACAGUGGUAGCCUUUACAGUCAUUGUCUACGUUGAAGAUAACGUCAGUUUUAAAUGGGGCUUUGGCCUAUGUGUCAUCGCCAACCUAAUCGGCAUGGCCAUUUUCUUCUCUGGAAGCCGUUUCUAUAAAUUCGAUAAACCACAAGG